rnacentral:rRNA from 1 species
UACGGAGGUGGCGAGCGUUGUCCGAAGUUACUGGGCGUAAAGCGCGCGUAGGCGGGCUAGUAAGUCGGCUGUGAAAGGCUGGAGCUUAACUCCAGCAGUGCUCCCGAUACUGUUAGUCUUGAGGGCGGCAGGGAGAAGUGGAAUGGCUGGUGUAGCGGUGAAAUGCGUAGAUAUCAGUCGGAACACCGGUGGCGAAGGCGGCAUCCUGGACCGGUAUUGACGCUGAGGCGCGAAAGCCAGGGGAGCAAACGGG